rnacentral:lncRNA from 1 species
CUAGCAAAGAAGGCAUGGAGCAAAUGGAGACGGGGUUCCUUUGUGACAACGUAUGGGAGGCUGAUGGGUUCCCUUGGAAGUUGGAACAAUGCGAUGUUGCCGAGACAGCACACUGGGUUCCAAUUCCAGUUGGACGAAUAGUAUGUACGUGAUUCAUUCACUCUUUUGAUCAUUCCUUAUUGCACGUACUGCAGUUGGAGGAUAUACCAAUAUAAUGGAUGGAUCUACUAAAUAUUAACAUGUCAAGUACGACAGUACAUGCCAACUAACUGAGCUAUAUAUGGUGUGACACUGACGAUCUACGCGCUUCCUCCCUAAGUGUUGUUUGCUGACUGCCGGGCCUUCCGUCGGAUGUUGUGCGCAGAUAAUUUUGUGGGAAGUCUUACCGUCCCUAUUUCAUAGAAAAAAAAUCCAGGUAUGUUAUUUUCUGUAUUUUCAAAAAAAUGAUAAUGAUAUGAAGCUUAGAAGUCGUGUGUCAUGCUUUGGAAAUAAAACUUACAACCCCCAUAGUUCAGGACCUUACUGAACUUUGCGUGUCAUGUAUUUAUAACCGCAUUUGUUUCUCAAGCUUUAGUUAUUAAACUUUUCUCUAAAACUGCAGAGUAACCGUUCUGAAUAAUGAACUUUGCAUUGCAUGUGUUAAUCUUAAAAAACACAAAUUUGAGAAAUAUCAAAUGGAAGUUCACAACUAAUAGAAAAGUUUAGCUCUUACAAGAUGGUAGGGAUUUCAAAAGUUUUAGCUUCAUCUUUUGUUAUUACACCAUAUGUUAUGUCAGUAAAUUGAGUUAUAUGAUGAGCAUGGUCUUAUCUGUUCAGGUUGCUGAGUUUUGGCCUUAAGGUGCAGCAUUGAUAAGGAAAUUAUGCAUCUGUUGAGGUUACUGAUAUUUAACCAUCUCAUGUCUAUCAAUAGUGCAUACAUUAUGGUUGAUAAAAAUAUCUUGCCAUGUCAAAUGCAUAAUGUUGUAAUUCCUUCAUUCCAUAAUGUAGUGCACCCGCGCUUUUUUAGAUAAAGUUUGACCAUAAAUUUAACUAACGUGGUUAAAUUUAUGGUCAAACCUAAAUCUCGAAAAGCGCUGGCGCACUACGUUACGGAAUGGAGGGAGUAUAUGAUAAGUUUGGGUGUAGCUCUGUGUUAGUGCCAGUUGCUUAUUAUGCGCUUGACCUAUUGUAUCUUUUUACCAUGCAGAUUAAUUAAUUCAACCUGAGGAUAGACAUCCUCACUUCAGUUCAAAAUUAUCCAGAAGAAGUGUGAUUUCUAUUCCAUAUUCAUUGACUUUUCUAAGACCUAUUAGUAAAUUCAUUAGCUUCUUUAAUCCAGUGAUUCUGGGUAAACCGACGAAGAAUAUGAAUAUUACGUAUGUAUAUUACCCCUUCUUCUGUCAUUUU